UGGGGAAUAUUGCACAAUGGGCGGAAGCCUGAUGCAGCGACGCCGCGUGGGGGAUGAAGGCCUUCGGGUUGUAAACUCCUUUCGACAGGGACGAAGCUUUUGUGACGGUACCUGUAUAAGAAGCACCGGCUAACUACGUGCCAGCAGCCGCGGUAAUACGUAGGGUGCGAGCGUUGUCCGGAAUUAUUGGGCGUAAAGAGCUCGUAGGUGGUUUGUCGCGUCGUCUGUGAAAUUCCGGGGCUUAACUCCGGGCGUGCAGGCGAUACGGGCUGACUUGAGUGCUGUAGGGGAGACUGGAAUUCCUGGUGUAGCGGUGAAAUGCGCAGAUAUCAGGAGGAACACCGAUGGCGAAGGCAGGUCUCUGGGCAGUAACUGACGCUGAGGAGCGAAAGCAUGGGUAGCGAACAGG
rnacentral:rRNA from 1 species